CGGAGGGUGCAAGCGUUAUCCGGAUUCACUGGGUUUAAAGGGUGCGUAGGAGGGCAGGUAAGUCAGUGGUGAAAUCUCCGAGCUUAACUUGGAAACUGCCGUUGAUACUAUCUGUCUUGAAUAUUGUGGAGGUGAGCGGAAUAUGUCAUGUAGCGGUGAAACGCUUAGAUAUGACAUAGAACACCAAUUGCGAAGGCAGCUCGCUACACAUAUAUUGACUCUGAGGCACGAAAGCGUGGGGAUCAAACAGGAUUAGAUACCCUGGUAGUCCACGCCCUAAACGAUGGAUACUCGACAUACGCGAUACACUGUGUGUGUCUGAGCGAAAGCAUUAAGUAUCCCACCUGAGAAGUACGACCGCAAGGUUG
rnacentral:rRNA from 1 species